rnacentral:snRNA from 1 species
ACGCUUACAGGGGAGGGGAGAUACCAUGGUUGCAAAGGCAGUUUUCCCAGGGCGAGGCUUAUCCAUUGUACUCUGGAUUGGCUGAUCUCUGUAUUUCCCCCAAUGUGGGAAACUGGACUAUAGUUGGUGAUAGAGGGGGAAACCACAGUGACGUAAUUAAGCCUCCACAGCUGCCUCAGAGCCCCUG